AUGGAAGAAGGUCAGGAAAGCAGGUACUGGUGCCACAGCUGCGCUGAGGUGAUCGUUCCUGUGGAGCCGGAGAAGAAGUGCCCGGACUGUGAUGGCGGGUUCGUGGAAGAGAUGGAGUCCGAGGGCUUUGAGCCGUCCACGAACGUGAGGUCUGAGCGGAACCUCUCGCUCUGGGCCCCGCUGCUGCUUGGGAUGAUGGGAGGUUCGUCUCGGCGAUCAAGGCCCCAGAGGGAUAUGAUGGAUUCUUCUUCUGAUGAGGACUCACGCCAAGCAAGGAUCAGGAGUGCACUGAGGGAUACUGAUGAUGAGGAUGAAGAGGAUGAUGAUGAUGAUUCUGACCGUGAGCUUGAAGACAUGAUUAGGAGGCGAAGGAGGAGGGGCUCAUCGCUUGUCAGGCUGCUUCAGACCCUCCGUGAUGACUUAAGGGGCUUGGAUGGCAUUGGCAGAGACAGGGACAGGGACAGCGAGAGAGACCGGGAGAGGGAGAGGGAAAGAAGGGACAGGGAGAGAAGGGAGAGGGAGAGGGCUAGAAGAGAGAGGGAGAGAGCAAGGGAGAGAGACCGAGGGGGAGAAAGGACAGAGAGCUUAAUACUGAUCAACUCCAACAAUGAGGCCAUUAUUCUCCAAGGAACAUUUGGACCUAGUGACAACCAAGAGAACUCAAGCAACACAAGUACUGGCGUUUCACUUGGAGACUACUUUCUUGGUCCUGGUCUAGAUAUGCUCUUGCAGCGUUUGGCAGACAGUGACCUGAAUCGUUCUGGGACUCCACCUGCCAAGAAGGAAUCUGUGGCAGCAUUGCCAACUGUGAACAUCCAGGAAGUAUUGGGCUGUACAGUCUGUCUUGAGGAGUUUGAAAUGGGGACGGAGGCGAAGGAGAUGCCUUGCCAACAUAAGUUUCACUCCAAUUGCAUCCUUCCAUGGCUGGAGCUCCACAGUUCUUGCCCAAUUUGUCGAUUUCAGUUGCCUACAGAGGAGUCAAAGAACCCAUGUGAAUCAGGCAGUGGUGGUGGGACAGUGAGUGCUGAUGGAGAUCAUGCUGAGUCAAGUAAUAGUGAUAUAGAAGGUGCUAACCAUGAUGGAGGCAGGCUGCUUGAUGGAAGUUCAAUAAAUGACAGAGAUGUGACGUCUGCGUUGAACGCGAUAUUCGGAGAUGAAUCCUCCUCCUCAUCAUCUGAUGAAAAUGGCCCACGUGCUUCUGAGAGCUGA
rnacentral:rRNA from 1 species